rnacentral:misc_RNA from 1 species
GAAAUGCGAUACCUAGUGUGAAUUGCAGCCAUCGUGAAUCAUCGAGUUCUUGAACGCACAUUGCGCCCCUUGGUAUUCCAGGGGGCAUGCCUGUUUGAGCGUCGUUUCCUUCUUGCGCAAGCAGAGUUGGCGGGGGCAGCGAUGCCGCCGCUGAAAAGGAGCGAUUGCGGACGCGAGCGAACUAAAGUGGUUGCGCUUGGCCGCCGAACUUAUACACUAAGCUCGACCUCAAAUCAGGUAGGAAUACCCGCUGAACUUAA